rnacentral:lncRNA from 1 species
GGCCGGUUACUUAAUUGUGAGGCGAGAGAUAGCUGCACAAGUGGAAAUUGGGCUGAUGGGCUAGCUGUUUUAUUAGGCCUCCUUUGCUCUCUUCACACGGGUCCAUACCUACAGCGAAAAGGUUUGACCUUCAGCCUAAUCAAAUCAUUAUUAUGGUCAUUGGUAAUUUCUCCCAUCUUUCUUAAAUGUGAGAUGUUUUUUGUUUGUCUUAAUAAGUCAAAAAAGUAAAGUUUUAUCAGAUUUAUCAAAAACUGUACCAAAUGUACAACUCUGAAUUAGUUGUAUUAAUUCGGUUACAAUAUAUCUUCAUAGUAUAUUUAUUUGGUAUUGUAAAUAUAAUUUUUUGACUUAAUAUAUACCUAGAACAUCUUAUAUUUACAGACGCAGCACCGGAUCUAUUCGCAGUGGACGCGUGCGUGCAUCUCGCCAUAUUUAGGAUUCGUUUGGCAUUGCGGUGGAUUAUAAUCUCGUUUUUUUCGCCUACUUUUCAGUAUUUUCUUUUCUUGUUUGGCUAACAAUUUUUUUCCUACUUUUGUGUGUAUUUUUUGCAACUGAUUAUAAAAUAAGUUUAAUUCAACAA